AUGGCGCAGGGCCACCUCGCGCCGUUCCGCUGCCUCGCCGCCCUCGUGCGCCGCUGCCGGCCGGACGCCCGGGUCACCUUCGUCGCCACCUCCUGCACGGCCCAAUCCCUCCGCGCCCACCUCGACGACGAAGGCAUCGCCGUCCACGCCAUCCCCUUCAGCCCCGCCAACGCCAGCGUACGCUCCUUCCAGCGGCUCAUCGACCUCUUCCUCGCCUCCGAGUCCCUCCGUCCGGCGUUCCACCAGUUCAUCGUGGAACUCAGACGCUCCGACCCCCUCGCCGAUGUGCACGUCGUGGAGGACAUGUUCCUGGCCUGGACGGUGGACGUCGCCCGCGGCGACCCCGACCUCACGCACUCCGUCCUGCUCACCAGCAGCGGCUACGGCUCGGCGCUCUACUUCUCGCUCUGGAACAGCGUCCCGCUUGUCCCCAACGACGACGAUGACGACUGCUUUAUCCUCCCGAGCUUCCCGGACAUCAGCGUCCACCGUUCGCAGCUCACCAAUCACCUCGCGGCGGCCGACGGCGGCGACGCGUGGUCCACCUUCAUCCGCAGGCAGAUCGCCGCCUUCUCCCGUGCCGACGCGCUGCUCGUCAACACCGCCAAGAAGCUGGAGCCAAAGGGAUUAAGCAUGCUUAGGCAAUGGCUCCACAAUGUCCCGAUAUUCCCGGUCGGGCCGCUGCUCCGGGCAGCAAGAUCGGCAUUGCCGGAGAAGGCGACAACGACUAGCCCCAUCUUGGCUUGGCUCGGCAAGCAACCGCCAGGCUCGCCCGCCGCCGACAUGAACGGCAGCGAGUCGCCGUCGUCCGGUCUGCCGGGGGGGUUCGUGGAGAGAAUGGAGGCGGCAGGGCGCGGGCUGGUGGUGCGGUGCUGGGCACCGCAGGUGGAGAUCCUGGCGCACCCUGCCACAGGCGCCUUCCUGACGCACUGCGGGUGGAACUCGGCGCAGGAGAGCCUCGCCUGCGGCGUGCCGAUGGUCGGCUGGCCGCUCUCGGCGGAGCAGUUCUACAACGCCAAGUUGCUAGCGGAGGAGAUGGGGGUGUGCGUCGAGUUGGCGCGCGGCGCCACGGCGGCCUUGACGAGGGACGAGGUGGCGGAGGGCCGGAGGCGGUGGAGAGGGUGCUCGGCGAGACGUCUGAAGUGCGGGCCGCAAAGAGACGAAAGGCCGCGGAGAUGUAGGAGGUGA
rnacentral:rRNA from 1 species